rnacentral:misc_RNA from 1 species
AAGUCGUAACAAGGUAUCCGUAGGUGAACCUGCGGAUGGAUCAUUACCAAUUUUAUAUACUAGUGUGUAUGCCGCUGUCAAAGGUGGUACUACACUACUACUAUUAUGUAAACGUUGAACUAGAUCAAUUGGUGUGGAUUGCUUGGGAAUGGACGAAGCGACAAGCCUCUUCCGGACAGGCAAACCCCACACUGAUAACCCUUUUCAAUAUAAUUUACUAGUACAUACUACAAACAAACAAAAGCUAUAAUAGGACUUAUAAACAGGCUGAGUGGGUAAAAUCCUCGGCUUAACCAAUAUAACUAUUACAACUUUCAGCAAUGGAUCUCUAGGCUCUC